rnacentral:lncRNA from 1 species
UGUAAGAACAGGACAGCUUUAAAACCUUCAAUCCAAGUAAUUUUCAUCUUGAGAAGAUCCUUUUAUCACCAAGAGUAUCACGCUGUGAAUACUUAUCAUCUCAGCAGAGACACAUAGGAAAGAUGACAUCUUCCAGGGCUUGCAGGGGUGCUCUAUCUCCCUGGCCUCCAGGAGCCACCAGCAACUUGAGGGUAGGUGCUGAGGUACAACAGGGGGGUGAAAAAGUGAAGGGCAGCCUCUGAAAUGACUUCUGUGCUCAAUUUCAAUAGCAUUGCCUAAAGCAUAUAUGCUCCAAAGAGCUGACAUUCUAGGUUAUUUUUUGUAAUGUUUUAUUUUGCUUCCAAAUAUGGACUCUUAACAUUUAAAAAAAUGGUGGUGAAAUAUAUAUAGCAUAAAAUUUAUCCUUUUAACCAUUUUAAAGUGUUUAGUUCAAAGACAUUAAUAUAUUCAAAACGUGCAACCAUCACUACCAUCCACCUCCAGAACUUUUUCAUCUUUCCAAACUGAAACUCCGUACCCAUCACACAACAACGCUCCAUUCCCUGUCCUCCCAGCCCCUGGCAACCACCAUUAUACUUUUCAUCUCUAUGAAUUUUUAUACUCUAGGUAAUGCACACAAAUGGAAGCAUACAUUAUCUGUCCCUUUGUGCUUGGCUUAUUUCACUUAGCAUAAUGUUGACAGGGCUCAUCCAUGUUGUAGCUUGUGUCUGAACUUCAUUUCUUUUUAAGAUAAAAUAGUACUCCAUUGUCUGUGUAUGUCAUAUUUUGCUUAUCCAUCCAUCUACUUCAGACUGUGAUUGCUUCCAUCUUUCGGCCAUUGUGAAUAACGCUGCCAUGUACAAAUAUUUCUUUGAGUCCCUGCUUUCAAUGCAAUGCUUUUGGCUGUAUAUCUAGAAGUAAAAGUGCCAAAAAUGGACUCUUAAAAAUGGAAAGAUCCUGAGUAGUUCAUACAAUUUAUGCUGUCAACACACUGGAAGAGAAGGGGCAGAGGUGGAUGAUCCAGGAUCCUGAACCUAGUGGGACUGAUGGAGACAGUCACCCAGGGAGUGUGGGAAGGUGAGAGGGGCAGACUUGAUCUUUAAGAAGACCAAGCUAUUGUUGAGUUGAGGAUUAGAUCUUGAGAUUCUCCUUGGCAAGGUUAUAGUCAGCUUAGAGCAAGCUCUGGAAAGCGAAGCCAGGGCCAGCAACGCCAGGAGCCUUUCCAGUGCACACUAUCAGGCCUCCAUGCAGAGGAACCACACCAGCUCCUCUCCCCUCUGUGGCUGGUGAGGCCCUCCCGUGGGCAGCUCUGCCCCAGGUCCAAGAUAUCUGCUGCUCCUCCCAUGUGAGAAAUGGGAUGAUCCCAGAGUGUGCUGGGCUUCAAGCAGCUCUGGGAUAAUAAGGAUGGGAACAUUUCCUACAGCUUCCUGCAUUGAAAUGACCUUUGGAAGCCAAAUCAGACUUUGGGGUUUAACAUGUGGUUCAUAAGGGGCCCUAAAUGUGGCUCUGCUGUGUGUGUCUUAAAAGCCUUUGUGGGAGAGGGCAGAUGCAAUGAGCACAGAUUUGGAUGUCACAGCAAAGGCUUAAGAUUGUCACCCUUGAUGGCCUGGACUGAUCUGACCUGGCACCAGGGCCUCCCCUCCUUGGGACAGGCCCAGCAGUGUCCCAAGGACCUGCAUUUUUUGUUCCGUGCGGCCUCUCCCAUUAAGCAAUGACUACGGCACCCCCAGAUAAUGACCAGUUUUGGAAAGAUUAGCAUUCCACAUACUUGGUUAAAAAAGUUUUUAUGCAACCAGUGUUCUACUUUUUCCUAGAAUCUUUGCCUCUCUGAGGACUAGUCCUUUCUCUUGCAAAGUGAAGGAAGAAAGGGAUCCAAAUAAUAUUGGUCCAGAGUAACUUUUAAUUAGCAGCCUUAGCCAAGUGAUAAAGAUAUAUUACAUACUCUGAAGUUCUAUGAGAACCCACCCAAACUUCUGCUUUAUUGUCUAAAGGGCCCCUUCACAAAUACAGCAUUGGGCCUGGAUUUCAGGAGGAUUUAUGAGUCAGGGGCGAGCUGGGAGUUUGGCCCCAUGACAACUUGGAAGGUUUGCCCUUGAUUUGGAAAGAACAGCAGCCCAUGUUCUGAAUAGAGAGGGGGAAAGGGGGACAAAGUUCUCAGCUGAACACUAAUGAGACUAAGAUGAAACUGCUUCACAGAGAUGUCCAGCCAGCAGGGCCUGUGGUGGAUGAUUUGAGUACAGACUGUUACCCCCAGGAGGAGCCUGAUGGGGAUAAGUGGGAUGCUCACUUUAAGAGUAUCCAGGUAGCUCUCAUCAGAACCUUCCUUUCCCAGAAUUAAAAAAAAAAAAUCAAUCUGUAUGUAAAAUAAGCAUGCUCUUGUUGAGUGGCAACAGAAGACACUGAUUUUCAUGUAUCUUGGAGCUAAAAUAUAAAUAAAAAGGAUGGAAAUGUCUUUGAUUUACAAAGCAGUAGAAAAAAAUCCUGCUUUAGGAAUUGAGGUAAAUGUAACUAGCUUUGGCUCCGCCUCAACCUUGGCUUUUCAAAACUAGAGAGUGUUCUACCCAUUGAGCCCUCUGCUUUCUCAUUUCAUAAUGGGGUAGGAAAGUGGGAGAUGGCUAGGUUAGAUGUCUCUUGCUCAUGAUCCAGAGGGCUUCAAGGGUCUUGUGAACCAUCCAGAAUAGUUUGCAGUAUGUAUAUAUCUUUAUGCUAUGGGCAUUUUUCUGGGGAAGCUCAUUGCUUUGGUCAUAUUCCCUAAAGCAGUCUUUGGUUUUCCAAAUGUUAAGAACUCCUGAACUGGAUACCUAAACACCUUAAUCUUUGAAUAUGCUGUUACACAUCAGUGAUUCUAAGGUUAUUCUGGUAUAUUCUCUUGGGGGGGGAAGCUGUGAUUCUCUAAAUCUAUUACGUUUUCAUGGUAAUGUGAGGACAGUUGGAGAUACAUGUUCUGGUCCAUACUUGUUUCCUAGUCUCGGCUGGGCUUUUGGGGGAAAAAUAAUUAAGGAAUGAAUCUUAAGUCUGUCUAAUCUCCCCAGUUCCUGAUCUGCCUGUUCAUCCCACCCCCGAGGGUCACAGCCCCAUUGUGAAGCCCAAGCAGGUUUUGGCUCAACAUCUGUGCUGUGGGGUGCCUUUCACUCUCGCUCCAGCCCUCCACCCAGAUAUGCCCAUUUGCCAUCCCAUUCCAGUCCCUAAACCACUGACUGUAACUGAAAAGCUAAAUGGAGGAGUUCCCGUCGUGGCGCAGUGGUUAACGAAUCUGACUAGGAACCAUGAGGUUGCGGGUUCGGUCCCUGCCCUUGCUCAGUGGGUUAACGAUCCGGCGUUGCCGUGAGCUGUGGUGUAGGUCGCAGACAAGGGAUCCCGCGUUGCUGUGGCUCUGGCGUAGGCCGGAUUCAACCCCUAGCCUGGGAACCUCCAUAUGCUGCAGGAGCGGCCCAAGAAAUAGCAACAACAACAACAACAACAAAACAACAACAAAAAAGACAAAAGACAAAAAAAAAAAAAAAAAAAAAA